rnacentral:rRNA from 1 species
CCUACGGGUGGCAGCAGUGGGGAAUAUUGCGCAAUGGGCGAAAGCCUGACGCAGCGACACCGCGUGAGUGAAGAAGUCUUUAGGGAUGUAAAACUCUGUCAAGAAGGACGAUAAUGACGGUACUUCUAAAGGAAGCCCCGGCUAACUACGUGCCAGCAGCCGCGGUAAUACGUAGGGGGCGAGCGUUAUCCGGAUUUAUUGGGCAUAAAGAGCGUGUAGGUGGUAUUUUAAGUCAGAUGUAAAAUUCUUCAGCUCAACUGAAGUUUGCAUUUGAAACUGAGAUGCUAGAGACUAGUAGAGGAAAGCGGAACUUACGGUGUAGCGGUGAAAUGCGUAGAUAUCGUAAGGAACAUCAGUUGCGAAGGCGGCUUUCUGGCCUAGAUCUGACACUCAAGCGCGAAAGCGUGGGGAGCAAACAGGAUUAGAUACCCUUGUAGUC